rnacentral:rRNA from 1 species
UGGGGAAUAUUGGACAAUGGGCGAAAGCCUGAUCCAGCCAUGCCGCGUGAGUGACGAAGGCCUUAGGGUUGUAAAACUCUUUCGUCGGGGACGAUAAUGACGGUACCCGAAGAAGAAGCUCCGGCUAACUUCGUGCCAGCAGCCGCGGUAAUACGAAGGGAGCUAGCGUUGUUCGGAAUCACUGGGCGUAAAGCGCACGUAGGCGGAUAGUUAAGUCAGGGGUGAAAUCCUGGGGCUCAACCCCAGAACUGCCUUUGAUACUGGCUGUCUCGAGGUCGAGAGAGGUUGGUGGAAUUCCUAGUGUAGAGGUGAAAUUCGUAGAUAUUAGGAAGAACACCAGUGGCGAAGGCGGCUCACUGGAUCGGUACUGACGCUGAGGUGCGAAAGCGUGGGGAGCAAACAGGAUUAGAUACCCCUGUAGUCCCUGAGCGGGCUGGCAAGGCGCAU